GGGGAAACAUUUCAUCCAACAUGAAGCCUCCUGGACGCCCCCCUCUGGACAUGAUAGAAACUGCAGGCAUUGGCGCUCUAAUGAGAGUGCAUCAUUUUCAUAUGCAGUCUUUGGAGAACAGGGUGACCGUGGUUGCAUCAGUGCCCUGUACAGUAUGAGGGCUGAUCUGUUGUCAAUUACAGGAGAAACCUAAUGACUUUGGGAGCACUUUAGACUGCAACUACAGCUGCUGCUGAUUCAUGCUUGUCUUGCUUGGAUAUCAACCGGUAAGGGGGAAGGACCAAGUGUGAGAGCUGGGGAUCCUUCAAAAUGAAGUAAACGAGGGACAGAGGAAAUUUCCACCAUUUCACUACGUCCGCUAAAAACCAUGGCAGAAAACGAAGAGAGGCCUACAAAUGGUGAACCGCGCCUUCUGCCUGAAUGCAGCUGGGAUAGACUCCAGCAACCCCCGUGACCCCAAAAGAGACAAGCGGUAGAAAAUGGAUUGAUCCCCAAUGCACGAAGUAAGUAGGUAAGUAAGUAAGUAAGUAAAUUAUAUUUAUAAAGCACUUUUCACAGAUAAAAUCACAAAGCGCUGUACAAAACAUAGGUGGAGUAAAACAACAAUUCAAUUAAAACAACAGGGGCAACAUCAUAAAAAAGGAUACAAAGUGUAUUAAACAGGAUAGUUAAAAGGUGCAUUAACUAAAAGCUUUACUAAAAAGAGAAGUUUUCAAAAUGUUUCUUGAAAGUGUCAACACAGUCAAGAUCACAGAGGGACUGGUGCAAGUUGUUCCAGAGUCUGGGAGCUAUAGCCUGGAAUGCCAGCUCUCCACGGGUUUUAAAAUGAAAUUUUGGGAUCUUUAGUAGACCCUGGCCUGAAGACCGGAGGCUGCGCCCUGAAGAGUAGGGGCAGAAAAAGUCAGUGAUGUACUGAGGGGCCCCACCAUGCAACGCACAGAAAAUCAGGUCUAAAAUCUUACACUCAAUGCAGAAUUUGACUGGAAGCCAAUGAAGACUGGAUACAACUGGGGUGAUUUGGGCUGUUCUGGGUGCACCAGUCAAAAGGCUAGCCGUUUUGUACCGUCUGAAGUCUCUUUAGCAUUGACUUGUUGAAAAGAGUGAAGAAAGAAUUGCAAUAGUCAAUACGAGAUUAAAUGAACGCGUGCAUGAUCAUUUCGAGAUCCAAAUUUGACAACAAAUUUCUCACUUUAGAAAUAUUUUUGAGGUGAUAAAAACAGUUUUUGGUCAAUUGACGGCAGUGACUCUCCAAAGACAUUGACUGAUCAAACACAACCCCAAGUUUUCAGAUGUUGCUUUUAACAGAUGCACCCAGAGCACAAAGGGAUUUCUUGAUCAGGGGGAUCUUUUUAUCGGGGGCAAUUAUCAGUUUCCGUUUUCUUAGAAUUUAUACAGGAUACGCACUCUAAGAACUCAAAUAUAAGGUGAAACUCUGAGUCGUUGAAGGAGCAUAACAGUUGAAUAUCAACUGCAUAGAAAUAAUAAGAAACAUUUUUGACACGACUGAUCAACCUCCCAAGCGGCAUCAGAUACAACAAAAAUAAAACAGGCCCCAGAACAGAACCGUAGGCCACACCACAUGACAGGUUGGACACGUUGGACAUUACAUCAUUAAAAGCAAAAUUCAAAGUUAUUCCAUUUAAACCACUGGAGAACAGCACGGAAAAAAAACAUCUCAGAUUUGAGGCAAACUAUUGAUACUGUGAUCCACAUUAUCAAAGGCAGAUGUCAAGUUGAGAAAAACCAAAACUGUGUAGCGACCAGAGUCAGCAGCCAUCAUCACGUCACUGAAAACUUUCAAAAGAGCAGUUUCGGUGGAGUAAAAUAACCUAAAGCCAGAUUGGUAUUUAUCAUAAAAAUCAUGCUGUUCCAAAAAGGAGGUUAUCUGCUUAGCUACCACUUUUUCAAUGAUUUUUGACAUCAAGGGAAAUUUUGAAAUAUAUAUAUAUGGGCUCCACCGGAUCAAGAUUAGAUUUUUUAAGAAUGAGAUUCACCACAGCAUGUUUAAAAAAGCUGGGGAUCAAGCCAGCCUGAAGUGAAAGGUGUAUCAAUUUUACCACCCAAGGACCAACAACACAUACUUGCCAACCCUCCCGGAUUUUCCGGGAGACUCCCGAAAUUCAGCACCUCUCCCGAAAACCUCCCGGAAGAAAUUUUCUCCGGAAAAUCUCCCGGAAUUCAGCCGAAGCUGGAGGCCACGCCCCCUCCAGCUCCAUGCGGACCUGAGUCCAGUGUGCGCACACAAGGAGAUGAAGCAGAAGAACGAGACCAUAGUCUAAGAGCGCAGGGGAGACACUUCUCCAGGGCCGAUGUAUGCUCGGGGCAACACCUUUCACCUUACCCGGCAGUGGGUCUCCACAGCGGACGACUUUAGGGUGAAUGAUGAGUCCAGCGAUUAGUUGCAAAUCUUGCUUUAUUGAUUGCUUGCACACAGCCAAUCCAACACAAAACCAACUAGUCCCUCCCCGCACUCAUGCUACGCUCCCUCUCUUCUCUCGCCCACACACUCACUGACGUCACUCACCUCACAUGCUGUCACCUAUUAAAGGGCCACACACACACAUACUCUACUCUCAUAACACACAGUACAGUUAGUAGAACAACUGUGUUUUCAUUACUGUGUAUUUGAUAGCUGCCAUUGCCCCGGAAUUGUAUUGCAUUGUACUUUCAAGUACAACAAUGAGUAGAUGAGUGUUAUGUGUGUGUAUAUGUGUAAAUAAAUGAACACUGAAAUUCAAGUAUUUCUUUUAUUUAUAUAUAUAAUAAAAUAAAUAAAUAUAUAUAUAGAAUUCACUGAAAGUCAAGUAUUUCAUACAUAUAUAUAUAUAUAUAUAUAUACAU